AAAAAGACAAACCCUGGGUUUCCGUGUCCAACGUUUGACUGUCCGUUUUAUAUGAAAUUUUUUUAUAAUUAGUAUUUUCAUUGUUGUUAGAUGAUAAAACAUGAUUAAAACUUUAUGCGUGACUUAUCUUUUUAAUUUUUUUAUAAUUUUUUCAAAUAAGACGGACGGUCAAACGUUGGACACGGAAACCCAGGGUUUGUCUUUUU
rnacentral:pre_miRNA from 1 species